ensembl:lncRNA
UAAAGAGGCCAUUAUUCCUGCUAUCUAUCAUUAUGAGGAGUGCUGCCUACUUCACAGAAGCUCUCGCAGCCUAACUGGAAUCACUCGAUGAUUUGGAUCAUUAAUAUAUUGCAAAAUGACAAUAAGAACUGAAGUGAGGGGGCAGGCAGACACAAAGCACUGAUGAAGAUGUAUCUGCUCUGCUGUCAAAAUUCCACUUAUAAAUAUAGGAGCAACCAUUGGAUUUCUCUUAGCUAGAAGGUGAAGCUUUAACACACCUAAAGAGUAUUGAUUGUUAAUGCUGUUUGUCUGUUUGGGGGUAGAUUGAGAACACCUGAGUCUGCUUUGCCUCCAGUUUUUGUUUCUGAAUUUUAGCGUGAGCUCUUUUUAAUCAUCCUACUACCAAAGCAUUUUCCUUUUUUGAAGCUUUGUUCGUUGUUAUGUUGCACUGUAAGGCACUUCAUUUUCUGUUUUUUUUUUUUUUUACCUUUGGCAUCAUUUUCUGAGUUCUGCUUCGUCUCCUUUUUCUGGGGAAAAAAAAAAAAUGGGAUUGCUUUUAAUUGGAUUUCAUAGUAUCAAUGAUGUUUUUAAAAGGAUGCAAGCCUAGGAACAGUGGUAGUUCAUCUACUCAUCUGCGGCAGCAGCACUAAUCUUGUACACAUUGGCAUGCAUGCAGGGCAAUAAAAAGUGACAUGAAGUAACAUUUCAGUGAAGAAUUGUAUGCAGCGGAGCCAAAUCCUGUCAUUUAAGGCUUUCUGUGAGGUGUGAUUUAUUCUCAUUUGCAAGCUUUGAGAGAAUGUGUGAGUGUUGGGAAUUAUGCUUAUACUUUUUAAGCUUUGCUAGUGACUGCAGGUGUCUGUGCCUUCAGGUUCCCAGCUUGGCAUUCCAGAGAGACUUGAUUCUUGGCACAUGCACAGUCAGCUUGUUUAGAAAAGCUGGACCCCGAGUAGGAAGGAUCUCAAGUGGAACACCACAAAUCACUGGGUUUGAAGACGAGAGCUAGGACAGACUGCUGUUUUAAACUCAGGUAUGCCAAAGAUCCAACAACACAGCUCAGAGUAUAAAGCUUCUGAAAUGUGGAUGGUGUGACAGCAGAUCUCUGAUUCUUCAUUGAAUUAUUUGAUAAACUUCUACUUCAAUCAGCAGAAGCAAGCAAGAUUCAUAAGAAGUUCCUUUGUAGGCAAGAUAAUUAAUUUAUUGAAUUCUUUUUAUCAUCUGAUAGCAAGAGAAACUGAGAAAUACAUGGAUGUAGGAGUAGAGCAGAGAUCAAGUUCUGUCGCUUCAUCUGUAAACUAAGGAAGUUAGAGUUUUUGCUACUUUCAGUGUAUGUGAUUGAACCACUGCUGCUUGUUACAGUAAGUGAUUGUAAUGUGAUCGAGUAUGUCAGAGAGCUGAUAACUUGGUCCUGAUAACUUGGUCCUGUACCUUGUCUCAUUGUGUCCAGUAUUUUGCUGUACUACUGCAGCAGAGGGCUUUCUUACUGCAUGGGUUCCUUCACGUGUAGUUUAGCGUCAAGUGAAAACAAGACUCCUCUUCAGUAGGCAUAGAAAAAAGUUGUCUGAUCAUUCUUAGAGGAGGCCAGGAGAGGGAAUGAUCUGGUCCCAGAUGUUUUUGUGCACAGGCAGUGUUUAGCUUUAAAUCUGCUUAUUUUAUUUAAACUGUCUCCAUUCCUUCUGUCCACAGUAGAUGGUUUGGGGAAAUUAUUCUUUAUGAUUCCAUGUAGUUAGGAAAAUAAAUAUUUGUUUAUGAGUAGUCUUCA